ensembl:misc_RNA Metazoa_SRP Metazoan signal recognition particle RNA
GCUGGGUGUGGUGGCGCACACCUGUAAUCCCAGCUACUUGGGAGGCUGAAACAGGAGAAUCGCUUGAACCUGGGAGGUGGAGGUUGCGGUGAGCCAAGAUCACACCACUGCACUCCAGCCUGGGUGACAGAGCAAGACUCUGUCUCAA